rnacentral:rRNA from 1 species
UCCUGGUUAUAAAUUAAAUUAAAUUUACCAGAGUACUAUGAAUACUACAAAAUUUAAAACUCAAAGGACUUGGCGGUGUUUUAGACCACUCAGGGGAACCUGUCCCGUAAUCGAUAAUCCACGUUAUACCUAACCCACUUUUGCUUUCAGCUUGUAUACCGUUGUCGUCAGGUAACUUUUUAGAAUUCAGAAGUUAGCUAAAAACGAUGAAUUUAAACGUCAAAUCAAGGUGCAGUUAACAAGGGGGCGAGGAUGGGUUACAAUUAUUUAAUUAUAAUUACGAAAGAUCGUAAGAAUAGGCGGUCAAGAAGGAGGACUUGAAAGUAAAUUAGACUAUAGAAAUAAUUUGAAUAAGGCUCUGAAAUGCGCACACAUCGCCCGUCGCUCUUGUUGGAAAAUAAGAUAAGUCGUAACAUAGUAGGGGUAAUGGAAAUUGUUCCUAAACU